UACGUAGGGGGCUAGCGUUGUCCGGAAUCAUUGGGCGUAAAGCGCGUGUAGGCGGUCCGGUAAGUCCGCUGUGAAAGUCGGGGGGCUCAACCCUCGGAUGCCGGUGGAUACUGUCGGGCUUGAGUACGGAAGAGGCGAAGUGGAAUUCCCGGUGUAGGCGGUGAAAUGCGCAGAUAGUCGGGAGGAACACCAAUGGCGAAGGCAGCUCGCUGGGACGGUAACUGACGCUGGAGGCGCGAAAGCGUGGGGAGCAAACAGG
rnacentral:rRNA from 1 species